UCUUGGCUAAGAUCCACAGCGGAAAUCAUGCUUUUCUAUUAUUACAAGAAAUAACUGCAGGACUCUCUUGGCUCAAGGUUCACACUGGGUUUGCCUCUUCCUGGAAGGGAUUCAGUCAAGAUUCUGGCAACAUACAGCGCAAAAUACAGUCGGUGCUCUGCAUGCAUGAGGCAUCAGGUUCAGCCUCCAGAAAGCCAAGAAAUUUUAAACAUCAAAUGAAUAUUCAAAAAGACUACAGCUUGGUCAGUGUAUGACUUCUGUCUACCCUUGCCACCAGGUUCAAGAUGCUACCAUGAUGCCAACUGUACUUCCCUGGGCAGACAACCCCACCAAUAUGUCCUGGAGCCCUGCUUCCCCAGAGCCCUGUCUCACUAGGGAAAGAGAGAUACAGGCUGGGAAUAUGGAUCAACCUGUCAAUACCCAUGUUCAGUGGGGAAGCAAUUACAGAAGCCAGACCUUCCACCUUCUGCACCCCAUAAAGACCCUGGGUCUAUACUCCCAGAGGGUUAAAGAAUAAGAAAGCUGUAAGG